rnacentral:rRNA from 1 species
UUUCUUGUAUUUUCCGCCUAUAUACCGCCGUCGUCAGCUUACUCUGUGAGGAGCUCGUAGUAUGCACAAUUGGCUUAGCCCAAAACGCCAGGUCGAGGUGUAGCGUAUGGAAAGGGAAGAAAUGGGCUACAUUCAAUAGCUAUAAUGAAUACGAAUGAUAUCAUGAAAAAAAUAUCUGAAGGAGGAUUUAGCAGUAAGCAGAGAAUAGAGUGCUCUGCUGAAGCUGGCCCUGAAGCGCGUACACACCGCCCGUCACUCUCCCCGAAAACAAAUUAACACAUCACUAAUCAACCAAAGCCAUAGAGGGGAGGCAAGUCGUAACAUGGUAAGCGUACCGGAAGGUGCGCUUGGAAAAAC